GACGAACGCUGGCGGCGUGCCUAACACAUGCAAGUCGAGCGAGUGGAUCUCCUUCGGGAGUGAAGCUAGCGGCGGACGGGUGAGUAACACGUGGGCAACCUGCCUCAUAGAGGGGAAUAGCCUUUCGAAAGGAAGAUUAAUACCGCAUAAGAUUGUAGCUUCGCAUGAAGUAGCAAUUAAAGGAGCAAUCCGUUAUGUGAUGGGCCCGCGGCGCAUUAGCUAGUUGGUGGGGUAACGGCUCACCAAGGCGACGAUGCGUAGCCGACCGGAGAGGGUGAUCGGCCACAUGGGGACUGAGACACGGCCCAGACUCCUACGGGAGGCAGCAGUGGGGAAUAUUGCACAAUGGGGGAAACCCUGAUGCAGCAACGCCGCGUGAGUGAUGACGGCCUUCGGGUUGUAAAGCUCUGUCUUCAGGGACGAUAAUGACGGUACCUGAGGAGGAAGCCACGGCUAACUACGUGCCAGCAGCCGCCGUAACAC
rnacentral:rRNA from 1 species